CCUACGGGAGGCAGCAGUAGGGAAUAUUGGUCAAUGGACGAAAGUCUGAACCAGCCAUCCCGCGUGCAGGACGACGGCCCUAUGGGUUGUAAACUGCUUUUAUACAGGAAGAAUAAGCCUUACGUGUAAGGUGAUGACGGUACUGUAAGAAUAAGGAUCGGCUAACUCCGUGCCAGCAGCCGCGGUAAUACGGAGGAUCCAAGCGUUGUCCGGAUUUAUUGGGUUUAAAGGGUGCGUAGGCGGUUUGUUAAGUCAGUGGUGAAAGUUUGCGGCUUAACCGUAAAAUUGCCAUUGAAACUGACAGACUUGAAUUUGGUUGAGGUUGCCGGAAUGUGUCAUGUAGCGGUGAAAUGCUUAGAUAUGAUACAGAACACCAAUUGCGAAGGCAGGUAACUAAACCAAUAUUGACGCUGAGGCACGAAAGCGUGGGGAUCAAACAGGAUUAGAUACCCUGGUAGUCCACGCCCUAAACGUUGAUUACUCGUUGUUGGCGAUACACUGUCAGCGACUAAGCGAAAGCGUUAAGUAAUCCACCUGGGGAGUACGACCGCAAGGUUGAAACUCAAAGGAAUUGACGG
rnacentral:rRNA from 1 species